GCUAUGUCCGUGCCGGAGGCCGGGGUAAGACGGAGGGGGUAAGCGUUGUCUGGGUUUAUUGGGUUUAAAGGGUGCGUAGGCGGCUCUGUAAGUCAGUGGUGAAAGCCUCCAGCUCAACUGGAGAACUGCCAUUGAUACUGCCGAGCUUGAGUACAGACGAGGUUGGCGGAAUUGAUUGUGUAGCGGUGAAAUGCAUAGAUACAAUCAAGAACACCGAUUGCGUAGGCAGCUAACUAGGCUGUAACUGACGCUGAGGCACGAAAGCGUGGGAAGCGAACAGGAUUAGAUACCCUUGUAGUC
rnacentral:rRNA from 1 species